rnacentral:rRNA from 1 species
UGGGGAAUAUUGGACAAUGGGCGCAAGCCUGAUCCAGCCAUGCCGCGUGAGUGAUGAAGGCCCUAGGGUUGUAAAGCUCUUUCACCGGUGAAGAUAAUGACGGUAACCGGAGAAGAAGCCCCGGCUAACUUCGUGCCAGCAGCCGCGGUAAUACGAAGGGGGCUAGCGUUGUUCGGAUUUACUGGGCGUAAAGCGCACGUAGGCGGACUUUUAAGUCAGGGGUGAAAUCCCGGGGCUCAACCCCGGAACUGCCUUUGAUACUGGAAGUCGUGAGUAUGGUAGAGGUGAGUGGAAUUCCGAGUGUAGAGGUGAAAUUCGUAGAUAUUCGGAGGAACACCAGUGGCGAAGGCGGCUCACUGGACCAUUACUGACGCUGAGGUGCGAAAGCGUGGGGAGCAAACAGG